rnacentral:rRNA from 1 species
AGAGUUUGAUCAUGGCUCAGGACGAACGCUGGCGGCGCGCCUAACACAUGCAAGUCGAACGAGCGAGAGAGAGCUUGCUUUCUCGAGCGAGUGGCGAACGGGUGAGUAACGCGUGAGGAACCUGCCUCAAAGAGGGGGACAACAGUUGGAAACGACUGCUAAUACCGCAUAAGCCCACGGGUCGGCAUCGACCAGAGGGAAAAGGAGCAAUCCGCUUUGAGAUGGCCUCGCGUCCGAUUAGCUAGUUGGUGAGGUAACGGCCCACCAAGGCGACGAUCGGUAGCCGGACUGAGAGGUUGAACGGCCACAUUGGGACUGAGACACGGCCCAGACUCCUACGGGAGGCAGCAGUGGGGAAUAUUGCACAAUGGGGGAAACCCUGAUGCAGCGACGCCGCGUGGAGGAAGAAGGUCUUCGGAUUGUAAACUCCUGUUGUUGAGGAAGAUAAUGACGGUACUCAACAAGGAAGUGACGGCUAACUACGUGCCAGCAGCCGCGGUAAAACGUAGGUCACAAGCGUUGUCCGGAAUUACUGGGUGUAAAGGGAGCGCAGGCGGGAAGUCAAGUUGGAAGUGAAAUCCAUGGGCUUAACCCAUGAACUGCUUUCAAAACUGUUUUUCUUGAGUAGUGCAGAGGUAGGCGGAAUUCCCGGUGUAGCGGUGGAAUGCGUAGAUAUCGGGAGGAACACCAGUGGCGAAGGCGGCCUACUGGGCACCAACUGACGCUGAGGCUCGAAAGUGUGGGUAGCAAACAGGAUUAGAUACCCUGGUAGUCCACACCGUAAACGAUGAUUACUAGGUGUUGGAGGAUUGACCCCUUCAGUGCCGCAGUUAACACAAUAAGUAAUCCACCUGGGGAGUACGACCGCAAGGUUGAAACUCAAAGGAAUUGACGGGGGCCCGCACAAGCAGUGGAGUAUGUGGUUUAAUUCGACGCAACGCGAAGAACCUUACCAAGUCUUGACAUCCGUUGACCGCUGUAGAAAUACAGUUUUCCUUCGGGACAGCGAGACAGGUGGUGCAUGGUUGUCGUCAGCUCGUGUCGUGAGAUGUUGGGUUAAGUCCCGCAACGAGCGCAACCCUUAUGGUCAGUUACUACGCAAGAGGACUCUGGCCAGACUGCCGUUGACAAAACGGAGGAAGGUGGGGAUGACGUCAAAUCAUCAUGCCCUUUAUGACUUGGGCUACACACGUACUACAAUGGCGUUAAACAAAGAGAAGCAAGACCGCGAGGUGGAGCAAAACUCAGAAACAACGUCCCAGUUCGGACUGCAGGCUGCAACUCGCCUGCAC